AGGGUGUACGGUGGAUGCCUUGGCACCAGAAGGCGAUGAAGGGCGUGGUUAACUGCGAUAAUCCUUGGGGAGCCGUAAGCAGGCUUUGAUCCAGGGGUGCCCGAAUGGGGAAACCUACCAUAGCAAACCUAUGGUAUCCUUACCUGAAUAAAAUAGGGUAAGGAGGCAAGACGGGGGGAACUGAAACAUCUAAUUACCCCCAGGAAGAGAAAGUAAUAACGAUUCCCUAAGUAGCGGUGAGCGAAAAGGGAAGAGCCUAAACGGUAAUGAGCGUGAUAGUCGGUAGACGUUGCUCAUUACCGGGUCGUGGG
rnacentral:rRNA from 1 species